UCCCUGGUGGUCCAGUGGGUAUGAUUCUGCACUUCCAAAACAGGGGGCCCAGGUUCAAUCCUGGUCAGGGGA
rnacentral:tRNA from 1 species